AGAGUUUGAUCCUGGCUCAGAUUGAACGCUGGCGGCAUGCCUUACACAUGCAAGUCGAACGGCAGCACGGGAGCAAUCCUGGUGGCGAGUGGCGAACGGGUGAGUAAUAUAUCGGAACGUGCCCAGUCGUGGGGGAUAACGUAGCGAAAGCUACGCUAAUACCGCAUACGCCCUACGGGGGAAAGCGGGGGAUCUUCGGACCUCGCGUUAUUGGAUUGGCCUAUGUCUGAUUAGCUAGUUGGUGAGGUAAAGGCUCACCAAGGCGACGAUCAGUAGCUGGUCUGAGAGGAUGAUCAGCCACACUGGAACUGAGACACGGUCCAGACUCCUACGGGAGGCAGCAGUGGGGAAUUUUGGACAAUGGGCGAAAGCCUGAUCCAGCCAUUCCGCGUGAGUGAAGAAGGCCUUCGGG
rnacentral:rRNA from 1 species